GGAGUGGGCUGAGCGACCGCCGCGAGAUUCGUCUCGGGGAGGAAAGUCCGGGCUCCGCAGGACGCAGUGGUGGGUAACGCCCACCGUCCGCGAGGACAGGGAAAGUGCCACAGAAAGUAUACCGCCGAUUCCUCUCGGGGAACCGGUAAGGGUGAAACGGUGCGGUAAGAGCGCACCAGCAGGUCGGGUGACCGGCCUGGCUCGGUAAACCCCACUGGGAGCAAGACCAAGCAGGAGGGAGUCGGGAGAAAUCCCGGCACGGGGCGGUCCGUCCCGUCCACCUCCGGGUAGGUUGCUGGAGGGUGCGGGCAACUGCACUCCUAGAGAAAUGGCCGCUCAAGACAGAACCCGGCUUACAGGCCCACUCCAGUU
rnacentral:RNase_P_RNA from 1 species